UCAACAUGAUGAGCUACAGAACAGGACUGCUGCUGUUCACUCUCUGCUGGGCAGGUGUCUCUGGUCAGACUCUGACACAGUCUGAAUCAGUGGUUAAAAGACCAGGAGAACCCCACACACUGACCUGUACAACAUCUGGACUCUCAUUCAGCAGCUGGUGGAUGGCCUGGAUCAGACAGGCUCCUGGAAAAGGACUGGAGUGGAUUGCAACUUCCAGACAUGAUAAUACUAUUUCCUACUACUCUCAGUCAGUUCGAGGCAGGUUUACUGCUUCCAGAGACAACGGCAAAGAGCAGCUGUUUCUGCAGAUGAACAAUCUGAGGACUGAAGAUUCUGCUGUUUAUUAUUGUGCUCGAGWUCCACAGUGACUGAAGUCAGUGGAGCAGCUGUACAAAAACCUGCAGCAACUAUUUCAACUAAUGAUGGGAAGCAUUAACUGUCAUUGUAAAAAAAUAAUGAAACCCAGUAGGAAUUCUAA